rnacentral:rRNA from 1 species
CCCUUAGAUGUUCUGGGCCGCACGCGCGCUACACUGAUGCAUUCAACGAGUUUUUCCUGGUCCGAGAGGAAUGGGUAACCUUUUGAAAGUGCAUCGUGAUAGGGAUAGACUAUUGCAAUUAUUGGUCUUCAACGAGGAAUUCCUAGUAGACGUAGUUCAUCAGACUGCAUCGAUUACGUCCCUGCCCUUUGUACACACCGCCCGUCGCUCCUACCGAUUGGAUGGUUUAGUGAGAUCUCCGGAUUGGCGCCAUCGAGGCUUCGCGGCUUCGACGGAUUGCCGAAAAGUUGAUCAAACUUGAUUAUUUAGAGGAAGUAAAAGUCGUAACA